AUAAAAAGGGGAGGGGUUCGGCUAGGGGCUGGCCGAAACCAGCCCCUCAAAUUUGAUCAUGGGGGAUUAUUUUCUUUUAGUUUUCUUGCUAUGUGGAAGGUGCUCUUUAACAUGGUGGAAUUGUUGGAGCAAAUAGAACGCUUAUAUGGAUGAUUCGUAAGUCUUAACCAAGUGGAGAAGUUGAAGAAUGAAGGGGAGAUGCUGCCGAAAUUCCGGCAGAACAUAAGUAAACGUGUUUGAAAGAUUAGGACAAGUAUGUGACAACGAGUCUAACGAAUGGAUGAAUCCUUUUGGACGUAGAUUGACAAGUUGGAUGAACAAGUGUAACGAGUUGGUCGCGACUCAGGUACUCCCAGAUGAGUUGAAGACAUUAUAGAAGACGUUCCAGCGAAGAUGGCAAACUCCAUUUGCUCCUGGAGGACUGCCGAGUCAGAAAUAUAUGUGAUAUGGUUUCUGGUUAAUGUUAGAGACUUUGCAGACAGAGUCGUGGGUAUAGUAUGUCAGUUCUGUAAGCGGCUACAUCAGCCGAUGUGUCAGUCUGUAUUAUAACAUGAAUUCUAUAUAAUUACAGAUUUUGUUGACUUUGAUAAGUAAAGAGAAAAAAAAAAUCUGGGAGCCUUAAUAUGUAUGUCAUGCUUAUUUGACUUAACAGGUCCGGAAAGAUCAUGUGUGAAAUAAGAGUCUGUGGGUUCGCUCGGCUCCGGAUAUGGGGUCGGGUGCCCAUCACACCCUAGGGAAAUCAGGGUGUGACAAAGUGGUAUCAGAGCGAGGUCUGUCCGUGGGGUUGUCUGCAAAGUCGUGUCCAGUAGAGUCCUGUUUAUGGU